rnacentral:misc_RNA from 1 species
AACCAUAGAAACCUGCGGAGUACCUGCGGAAGGAUCAUUACAAGUGACCCCGGUCUAACCACCGGGAUGUUCAUAACCCUUUGUUGUCCGACUCUGUUGCCUCCGGGGCGACCCUGCCUUCGGGCGGGGGCUCCGGGUGGACACUUCAAACUCUUGCGUAACUUUGCAGUCUGAGUAAACUUAAUUAAUAAAUUAAAACUUUUAGCAACGGAUCU